CUGCCCCUUGGGGAGAGAGACACAAUGAGCCACAGGCCUGGCUGCCCCAGGUAGCUGAAAAAUCGGAGGAUGGAGCUCAGAAGAAUUUUAUUAAGGGACACAACAACAGCUAUCUGUACAGUGAUGCUUCCAGAACCAAGCCUUCAGGACACUGAACUCCUCUGUAAGGAAGUCCUUGAGUUUUCUCAAUCUCUAGAAGAAGAAUCUCCUUCCUGAAGGUUCAGGUCAGCAAUUCACAGGAUGCAACUCCUGCAGGACCUGGUCCUGUUGAAGAUACAUCACAUCCCAAGGGCAAAGUGAAACAACACUGCCCGACUCAGCCUCUUUCUCCAAGUGGGAAUGCUCUUUCAGAAACUUCUCAUGCCCAGCAUCUUGGAACCAUCUCCUACAUUGAAGAGGCUCUGGUUGAUUUUAUUCAUGAAUGCCUCAAGUCCUAACGUUGAGACUGUAAACUCAGAUGGAUAAGGCCCAGUGAGGAACAUCCUUGGCCAUGACGAAGACCCCUGCUGCCCCCCGCCUGCCACUGCUCCGCACUGACAGCCAGUCCAGGUAGGUCUCUCACCUGGGUGCCAACCCAUCCCAUCGUGAAGCCACAGCCAGCUGUUGUGACAGUGGUGGUGACAGUGGGGGGUGGUGAGGGAGAUUCAGCUCUCCAGGAAAGCUGCGGAGAAAUGGCCUCCAACUCGGCGUGCCCUGCUGCAAAAUUAUGUUGGAGGACCUAUAAAAGGUGAUUUAUUUUGAGAGAGUUCUUUGUGCUCUGUAGCAGAGGAGAUUUUUCCCCUUUAUCGAACGAUUUCAGGAAGUCUGGAAAACAAAACUAUGUACUACACCACGCUGGAGACACAGUGGGUACAGUUGCCAUUUUCAGCAUAGAUUGAAGUGAGAUAAUGGCAGCAUGAAAUUGCAAUAAAUGGGCACAGUCAUCUUGCUGAAGCCAGCACAAGAGCACGCAUGGGCCGCUUUCUUCUUCAGAGGGGGCGUUGUGUGCCACUGCCCCGUUCUCUGCCUUGUGGCGAGGGCACAGAGGCCGAGAUCUGUGGCGGUGCUCUUUUCACAGGUGCCAUCAAGGGCAAUGAUGUUCCCCCCUCCCUGAGCUUCAAGCCAGGUCCCCACAUCUGAGUACCACACCUUGGAUGGCAAAGGCUAUUCUGAGAACAGACCCUGAAGACGUUCUGGAGGCCACAGCCUCUAUCCCCACUGCCUCUCCAUCUCCUGCCUCCUUAGCUGCACAACUGAGGUAACCAAAUCAUCUCAAAAUGUGAAAUAUCCCGGAGUCCGGGGUCUCUGAAGCCCGGCUGUAUUUCUCUCCUUGUGGACCUUACAGACUUUCCCUAAUAGCCCUUCCAAAGAGGGAGAUCCCAUGCCAUGGGGCAAGACCUGGGCCUUUUCCAUUCAGCUUUUCAGUGGGUAGAAGUUUGAACUGAAAUCUGCUGGAACCAUGCAGUGGCUGUCAGUGAAGAAUACCCAGUGUGGGGGUCAGUCAACUGGGCCCCGCACACCUCACACCGAGCACGUGGGAAGCCGGGCCCUCUGGCUGUCUCUCAUUCAGCCAAUACCACGCACCUACUCAUUGCUGGGGCCUAUACAAGGGUCUAGGGAUUCAGAGAUGAAUGGGAUCCACUCCCUGUUCUCAGGGAGCUCAUGGUCUAUUCAGGAAAAUGAAUACGAAAUGACAAAAUCGCAGGCACCUGGGUGGUUCACUCAGUUAAGUGUCUGACUUCGGCUCAGGUCAUGAUGUCAUGAUGUCAUGUUCAUGAG